rnacentral:rRNA from 1 species
UACGUAGGGACCAAGCGUUGUUCGGAUUUACUGGGCGUAAAGGGCGCGUAGGCGGCAAUUCAAGUCAUCUGUGAAAUCUCCGGGCUUAACUCGGAACGGUCAGAUGAUACUGCUUUGCUAGAGUGCAGAAGGGGCAAUCGGAAUUCUUGGUGUAGCGGUGAAAUGCGUAGAUAUCAAGAGGAACACCUGAGGUGAAGACGGGUUGCUGGGCUGACACUGACGCUGGAGGCGCGAAAGCCAGGGGAGCAAACGGG